GAUGGGUGGGGACCUGAUGAUUGUCCUGCAAUAUAUUAUCACAGCAAUGCGUCUACUACUUUAAGCAUGGGGAAUAACCAUGAGUAUGAUAUGGCAGUUAAAGUUGAAAAGAUCCAUGAUUUAGCAUAUUAUAAAGCUAAAGAAAUGCUCCAUCGAAAUGAGUGGUAGCAGCCAAUACACCCAAGCGGAUACUGAUCAAGUGCGAAAUGAGUGGGGGAAGUUUGUUGUCAACACAUAUGUGCAUGAGCCAUGAAGUAGCGCACUUGUUGCUAGUCCAUUUUUGUGAAGGAAAGCAUCUUUCUUUGUGCUUGUCUGCUGGUACAUUGUCAUGCACCAUAUGUGGCAUGUUUUGAAACAAUAUAUAUGUGUAUCAGCUUUUUGAUGU